AGACGCCAGAAAUGAGCAUAUAAGUAAACGUCGACACGGAUUUAGACACUCAAAGAAACACCUGUCUAUUGAAGCAGACGACCUGUUAUUGAGACGUCUCUCAGGAAAGAUGAGUCGGUUGUCCGUAGCUGUGAUUUUGAUCGUCUGCGGCCUUCUUGUCGCGCUUUUUGUUGAAAACUGCCACAGUUUACCUGCACUCAAGACAAAGCGUUCGUUUUUUGACACAGACGACACACAAAGGGAGGAUGAGAGGUUUAGGUAUCUUUGGAAAAGGUUUAAUUAUCCAGAGGAAAAUCAUCCUUGGAAACGAAUGAAACCUAACCAGGAUCUCUUUGGUUUGUUCCACCCAGAGUACGCAUAAAAGGUUGACACGAAGAGGAUCAUCACCUUUGCACAAACAUCAGCGCCAUCUCUCGUCCAUACCCAACGUCAGAC